CUGACAGCCCUGGAGACUGAAGUCUUCUGUGUAGAACAGGUAUAGGAAAAGCUCCUGCAGUGCAAGCUUCCCCAUAUUACCUCCCUGAUUUGUGCCUUAACUCCAACCUUGAAUGACCUUUCUUAGAGGUCAGACAAUAGCUCGGUUUUCAGUUCUUUGCCUCUCUGCUGAA
ensembl:misc_RNA